UACGAAGGGGGGCUAGCGUUGCUCGGAAUCACUGGGCGUAAAGGGCGCGUAGGCGGGCUCUUAAGUCAGGGGUGAAAAGCCCCAAGGCUCAACCUUGGAAUUGCCUUUGAUACUGAGGGCCUUGAGACCGGAAGAGGUCGGCGGAACUGCGAGUGUAGAGGUGAAAUUCGUAGAUAUUCGCAAGAACACCAGUGGCGAAGGCGGCCGACUGGUCCGGUUCUGACGCUGAGGCGCGAAAGCGUGGGGAGCAAACAGG
rnacentral:rRNA from 1 species